GAUGAACGCUGGCGGCGUGCCUAAUACAUGCAAGUCGAGCGAACAGACGAGGAGCUUGCUCCUCUGAUGUUAGCGGCGGACGGGUGAGUAACACGUGGAUAACCUACCUACAAGACUGGGAUAACUUCGGGAAACCGGAGCUAAUACCGGAUAACAUGUUGAACCGCAUGGUUCAACAGUGAAAGACGGUCUUGCUGUCACUUAUAGAUGGAUCCGCGCCGCAUUAGCUAGUUGGUAAGGUAACGGCUUACCAAGGCAACGAUGCGUAGCCGACCUGAGAGGGUGAUCGGCCACACUGGAACUGAGACACGGUCCAGACUCCUACGGGAGGCAGCAGUAGGGAAUCUUCCGCAAAGGGCGAAAGCCUGACGGAGCAACGCCGCGUGAGUGAAGAAGGUCUUCGGAUCGUAAAACUCUGUUAUUAGGGAAGAACAAAUGUGUAAGUAACUAUGCACGUCUUGACGGUACCUAAUCAGAAAGCCACGGCUAACUACGUG
rnacentral:rRNA from 1 species